rnacentral:misc_RNA from 1 species
AAAGGAAGAAGAACAACUAUAAUCAAGGAAGGCGAAGGAUGAACAGUAGGACUUGUAUGGCUCAGCGUGAGGAUGUAAUUAGGAGGACUGUUUAUGUUUCUGACAUUGAUCAACAGGUUACUGAAGAACAGCUUGCGGGUCUCUUUGUUCAUUGUGGGCAGGUGGUUGAUUGUCGAAUAUGUGGUGAUCCUAAUUCUGUUCUUCGAUUUGCCUUCAUUGAAUUCACGGAUGAAGAAGGGGCUAAGGCUGCUUUAAAUUUGUCUGGGACAGUGCUUGGAUAUUACCCGCUUAGGGUACUGCCUUCCAGAACUGCAAUUGCUCCUGUUAACCCCACAUUUUUGCCAAGGUC